rnacentral:rRNA from 1 species
GACGAACGCUGGCGGCGUGCCUAAUACAUGCAAGUAGAACGCUGAAGGAGGAGCUUGCUCUUCUGGAUGAGUUGCGAACGGGUGAGUAACGCGUAGGUAACCUGCCUGGUAGCGGGGGAUAACUAUUGGAAACGAUAGCUAAUACCGCAUAAGAGUAGAUGUUGCAUGACAUUUACUUAAAAGGUGCAAUUGCAUCACUACCAGAUGGACCUGCGUUGUAUUAGCUAGUUGGUGGGGUAACGGCUUACCAAGGCGACGAUACAUAGCCGACCUGAGAGGGUGAUCGGCCACACUGGGACUGAGGCACGGCCCAGACUCCUACGGGAGGCAGCAGUAGGGAAUCUUCGGCAAUGGACGGAAGUCUGACCGAGCAACGCCGCGUGAGUGAAGAAGGUUUUCGGAUCGUAAAGCUCUGUUGUAAGAGAAGAACGAGUGUGAGAGUGGAAAGUUCACACUGUGACGGUAGCUUACCAGAAAGGGACGGCUAACUACGUG